rnacentral:rRNA from 1 species
UACGUAGGAGACGAGCGUUGUCCGGAAUCACUGGGCGUAAAGCGCGUGUAGGCGGAUGAGCAAGUCUGCUGUGAAAGCUCCUGGCUUAACCGGGAGAGGUCGGUGGAAACUGCUCGUCUGGAGGACGGUAGAGGCUGGUGGAAUUCCCGGUGUAGCGGUGAAAUGCGUAGAGAUCGGGAGGAACACCUGUGGCGAAGGCGGCCAGCUGGGCCGGACCUGACGCUGAGACGCGAAGGCGUGGGGAGCGAACGGG